CUUAAAGAAUUUGGCGGUAUUAUAUUCUAUUUAGAGGAAUCUGUCAAGUAAUCGAUAGUCCACGUUGAACCUAACUUACAUUAAGUUCUUGUAUACCGCUGUUUAUGAAGAUAUUAAAAGAUAAUUUUCUUAAUAAAUUAAUAUUUAGAAUUUCAAGUCAAGGUGCAGUAAUAUGUAAGAUUGAAGAUGGAUUACAAUAAAUUUUAUUUAUACGGAUAAAAUUUGUAACAAAAGUUUGAAGGUGGAUUUAAUUGUAAUUUUGAAAAGAUUAUUAAGGUGAUUAAAAGCUCUAUAAUAUGCACACAUCGCCC
rnacentral:rRNA from 1 species